rnacentral:rRNA from 1 species
AUACGGAAGGUCCGGGCGUUAUCCGGAUUUAUUGGGUUUAAAGGGAGCGCAGGCGGAGAUGCAAGCGUGACGUCAAAUUUCGGGGCUCAACCCCGUCUCGCGUCGCGAACUGCGUCCUUUGGUUGCGGGAAGGGGAGGCGGAACUCGUGGUGUAGCGGUGAAAUGCAUAGAUAUCACGAAGAACUCCGAUCGCGAAGGCAGCCUUCCGGCCCGUCAACGACGCUCAUGCUCGAAGGUGCGGGUAUCAAACAGGAUUAGAUACCCUGGUAGUCCGCACAGUAAACGAUGGACACCCGCGGUUUGGCCUGUAUGGCUGAGCCGCCAAGCGAAAGCGUUAAGUGUCCCACCUGGGGAGUACGCCGGCAACGGUGAAACUUAAAUGAAUUGGCGGGG